rnacentral:misc_RNA from 1 species
GUCAAAUACCGUUGGCACAUAAUCCUGUUUCAUAAUUCAUGGUAAAUCACAAAGGAACAAAAUAAAUAAUUCUUCAUGUCCAAAUCAUUCUGCCUCAAAUUUGUAUUGCAAAAUUAACAAAAUUUCAUUGAUAAUGGCUGAAAUGCCAAAUCACCAACAAAACGAUCAUACAAUAGAACUUCCUAUAAAACUUUAAACUGUACUCCAGGUCAUAUGCCAUGAAACACCCAAUAAUCUAAAACAGAACCUUCUAUAGAUAUAUGCAUAAAGCCUAUGUUAUAAUCAUCAACUACAAAGAUCAUUGCAAACAAAGAUAAUGCCAUCAAUGCUUUUUGAAGGAAAUGUUUCCUCAAUCACAUUUUCAGUAGAAACAAAUGUACACUGGUUGCUAAGAAGAGACCAAGUUAUACUCCUAAACUCAUAUAUCUUUUUUUAGAAUAAGAGAGAGCGCAUAAGAGCAAGCACCUAACUUUUCAACAUUACGAGAACAAAAAGAUAGAGAACCAAAAAGAAAUUAAUCAUCCAAAAAAACCGAAAAACAGCAUUAUAACUUCAAAGUUAAUAUAAAAAUUUCCAUGGAAACCAACCUAUGGCACACAUAAUAAAAGCUAGUUCAAAGUUAACAAACGUAGAAAAACCUAUUUUCCCACUAUUUAUUGGAUUAUAUAAUUUUAUACAAAUUUCUCAUGAUACGCUACAAAUUAGACCCAAAUUCAGAAUACUCAAUAUUCAACUAAAAGGAUCCAACCAAGAGUCUCAGUAAGCAUUUUCAUUCAGGAUGUCUCAGUGAAUCUCAAAGACCAUCCAAAAAUACACUAGUCGUCCAUUUUUAGCCUCCCAGGCGCCAAACACGAAUCUCCAUUAAUCCUAUUUGCUCAUAUAAGGAUAAGUCAAGAUGGUGAUUGACUUUUCUCUAUUUUGAAACAAUUUGGUAAAUUAGGAUCAAGAAUGUUGCUUCCUUUUCUUGUCCUCCCAUUUGCAGCCAAACAGAUAAAAAAACCCCAAAUCUGAUACUUCAAUUGACUCUAAUCAAGUAAAACAGAUACACACAAGAACACAUCUUCUCAAAGCUAAUUUCUUGGAUAAAACACAGAGUCAAUUGAGUAAUUUUUUUUCUUGGUAUCCAAACAUUGGAGAAUUAAACAUAAGCAAAAUAAAAGGAAAAUGCUGGAUUUCUCUUUCAGCUUCCGGAAUUUCCUUGGCAACCAAACAUUAACAGAUGCAAAAUAGCCCAAAGCUUGACACUUCAAUCAAAAAGUUCUUUACCCAAAAAAAAAAAAGGCAUCUCGACUAAGCUAAUUACUUCAACGAAACUCAGUUGACUUAGCCAGGACAUUCUUGAAAAAGUAAAGAAAUUAAAUUUCCUUCUUGUUUCCCACAUUUUCUCGACUGUAAAACAGAACAAAGACAAAAGAAAUAGUAAAAAGAAAAUAGCUUUACACAAAAUUUUAGAGACAAAACACUUGCACAAACUCAAUUGACUCGACAAAUACUUAUUGUUUUCUCAAGAAACAAACACAAACCCGAA